rnacentral:rRNA from 1 species
GACGUAGGGCGCGAGCGUUGUCCGGAUUUAUUGGGCGUAAAGAGCUCGUAGGCGGCUUGUCGCGUCGUCCGUGAAAACCUGCAGCUCAACUGCAGGCUUGCGGUCGAUACGGGCAGGCUAGAGUUCGGUAGGGGAGACUGGAAUUCCUGGUGUAGCGGUGAAAUGCGCAGAUAUCAGGAAGAACACCAAUGGCGAAGGCAGCUCUCUGGGACGGUACUGACGCUGAGACGCGAAAGCGUGGGGAGCGAACAGG